UACGUAGGUGGCAAGCGUUGUCCGGAAUUAUUGGGCGUAAAGGGCGCGCAGGCGGCCGGUCAAGUCUGUCUUAAAAGUGCGGGGCUCAACCCCGUGAUGGGACGGAAACUGGCAGGCUGGAGUGUCGGAGAGGAAAGCAGAAUUCCUAGUGUAGCGGUGAAAUGCGUGGAUAUUAGGAGGAACACCAGUGGCGAAGGCGACUUUCUGGACUGUAACUGACGCUGAGGCUCGAAAGCCAGGGGAGCGAACGGG
rnacentral:rRNA from 1 species